UACGUAGGGUGCGAGCGUUGUCCGGAAUUAUUGGGCGUAAAGGGCUCGUAGGCGGUUUGUCGCGUCGGGAGUGAAAACUCAGGGCUUAACCCUGAGCCUGCUUCCGAAUACGGGCAGACUAGAGGUAUGCAGGGGAGAACGGAAUUCCUGGUGUAGCGGUGAAAUGCGCAGAUAUCAGGAGGAACACCGGUGGCGAAGGCGGUUCUCUGGGCAUUACCUGACGCUGAGGAGCGAAAGUGUGGGGAGCGAACAGG
rnacentral:rRNA from 1 species